CAGCUACCUCCUAUGGAGUGUGCAGGAGAACAUGAGGUAGCAGCUUACUUCUGUUAAGGCAGUGACCUGCUCUGGAGGAUGGGCUGAUCCUGGAGAACAUGCACGACGUGCCAUACACGGUGUGCCCGGGCCUGGAGGUCAUUGCAGCCAUGGCAGUUGUCUUGGUGUGAAAAGACAGGAGUCUGUGAAGAAAGGCAAAAGCCUCCUGUGAAAUGAAAAAGGUCUUGAUUUUAUCCGGGUUGAAGGGUUUGUGUUUUCCCAUGU
rnacentral:lncRNA from 1 species